CAAGGAAUCCAGGGCUACUCGGGAUUAAGUGACUUGCCCAAGGCCAUGAGGUCACAGUGAUGCAGUCCAGCACUCUUCCUAUGGCACCCCAGUGUCUCUCAAUAUGGCUGUGCUGUCCGCACAGACGGGCUGAUCCCACCACCCUCCCCAGUUUCUAUCCCUGCUUCUAAAACCUGCAACUUGUCCUGUAAGCCAUCUUAGCACCUGCCUCUGGCUUCUAAGCAAACUUCAGGGCUAGGCUGUCCAUCCCAUCAUAGAUCCUUCUGUCAGUUAAAUCCUAAGUCAUUAAACAAGCAUUUUCCCCUGAGCCUAUAUGUGGUUAUAGCAACUUAAGUAAAAAAUACAUUUGUUCAUGGUGGAAAAGUGGUAUAACCAUAAGACAUAUGUAAUUUGUUGGGAAACAGCCUCUCUAUUCUUACUUUCAAAUGUCACAGUGAAUACUUGAAACUAAACUAUGCCGCUGGAAAGCUGGAGUUAAGAAUUUACUUGGAAACCUUAAACAUGGGUAAUUUUGGUUAGUAGCCAUUCUGUGACUUUGCUUAGACAUGACAGGUUAAGGGCUGUAGGGCCCAAGGCAGAGUUGACAGACACAAGCCCUCUCUCACCUCCUCAUCUGCAUAGGAAGGAUAAAUCCCUGUCCUGUAGGCUCCCAAUGGUCCUGCCCACAGGGUAAUUGCAGAGAAGAUAUUCUCUGAUGAGAUCAACCCAUGCAAGGCAGAACUACCAAUAUCUGUACUGCCAGAGAGACUCCCCUUAUUCCACAGUGAAUCUGAGCAGUACUAGACUCUCUCUUUACCUCUGACCAAAUACAGAUUGCAGUUCAAUUUGGAUCUGGAAAAACUGGUGGUGUAGUGGAAAGAACAAGUCUGUGGAGAUCCUGAGUUUCAACCCUGGUUAAUAAAUUCUACUAAACAUAUUUGGUUAGUGAUCUCGGGCAAAUUACUUAACUUCUUUGGGUCUCAGUCUCCACAUUAAUGCUGCUGCAGCGAGGGGCGAUGAUUCUGAAGCUUCAUAUCUUCAGAACGGUAGAUGCUAAGCACUGAAUGGUGCCUUUCAUGAACAUGGCUUUACCUUGGCUUCAAAACAACCCUAUGAGGUAGAAAUAUUCCUGCUCCAUGUUUCCUUUUUGCCCUCUGGACUGAGUCCUUUUGACGAAAGAACACUCAGAACCUGCUGAGCUUUGGGCUGGCACUGGGAUUCACUCACUCUCAGGGAAAUCACCUGUGGGAUUCCCAUAUGUAAAACACACCUCAAAUUGGAGCCACCUGCGUGAAGGAGGUUUCAUGAACACCGAAAACACCAGCCUUUGGCUUUUCCUCAGUGAGAGCCCACAGCGCCUCCUUGUGGACUAUCUGAUAAACUGGAACCAGUUCUCGCAGGGCUGAAGGACGGUGGUCACCUAGAGGCAUUGCCCAGGAUCUGCACUGCGCUGUCCACCCAGGAAUUACUCUGUUUUCUUCUACUUUUAAAUAAAUUUGGGAGAUGGGCUGGGUGUGGUGGCUCACACCUGUAAUUUCAGCGUUUUGGAAGACCGAGGCGGGAGGACGGCGUGGGACCAGGAGUUCAUGACUGGCCUGGGCAACACAGUGAGACCCUGUCUCUAUUUUAAACAACGACAACAACAUAUUUAAAAAAUAAAAAUAAGAAAAUAAAUUUGGAAGAUGAACACAUUCUAUUUUAAUUCUGUUAGUGAUCAGUAAAACUGGCUUAAAAGCUGAGUUUCCUUUGGUUCCCUUUUGUUUUAUAAAAAAUGUCUGUGUGUACCUUUGUCAACAGCCUGAAUCCUAUGAAUCACAGGUUCCCCUGGGGAAGAUGGGGGUUUGAGUUUGGUUUCUUACUUGUGUUUAUAGGGUUCUGGGCAACUUGGGAGGGCGAGACACUAUGCCCUCAUGGGAUAACACUAAUU
rnacentral:lncRNA from 10 species